UACGUAGGUGGCAAGCGUUGUCCGGAUUUACUGGGCGUAAAGCGCGCGCAGGCGGUCGAAUAAGUCGGAUGUGAAAGCCCACGGCUCAACCGUGGAGGGUCAUUGGAAACUGGGGAACUUGAGUGCAGGAGAGAAGAGUGGAAUUCCACGUGUAGCGGUGAAAUGCGUAGAGAUGGGGAGGAACACCAGUGGCGAAGGCGACUCUUUGGCCUGUAACUGACGCUGAGGCGCGAAAGCGUGGGGAGCAAACAGG
rnacentral:rRNA from 1 species